CAGCGCUUCCCAAUACGGUUGUGAACCCUGUACAACAGCCGUGUUUAAAGUGGCAAUACCUGUAGAUGGGUUGUAAUGCAAACAUAGGCUCCAUCAGUCAGUGGCAGGGUUGUGUGGAUAAACAGGAAGUGAAAGUGACGCGAUGAUGAAGAGGGGAUGAUGUGUGUGUCUGGAGGCGGUUCUUAUACCCCAUGUCAGAGUGUGUCACUCACACACUCAUUAGGCUGACAGAAAGUGUGAGGUGGUAAUGAGGGGAGAUGACUGGUCAAAGUGUGUCACUCACACACUCAGUAGGCUGACACAGAGAGACAGUGUGAGGUGGUAAUGAGGGGAGAUGACUGGUCAAAGUGUGUCACUCACACACUCAGUAGGCUGACACAGAGAGACAGUGUGAGGUGGUAAUGAGGGGAGAUGACUGGUCAAAGUGUGUCACUCACACACUCAGUAGGCUGACACAGAGAGACAGUGUGAGGUGGUAAUGAGGGGAGAUGACUGGUCAAAGUGUGUCACUCACACACUCAGUAGGCUGACACAGAGAGACAGUGUGAGGUGGUAAUGAGGGGAGAUGACUGGUCAAAGUGUGUCACUCACACACUCAGUAGGCUGACACAUAGAGACAGUGUGAGGUGGUAAUGA